rnacentral:tRNA from 2 species
GGGCCCGUCGUCUAGCCUGGAUAGGACGCCGCCCUGACGCGGCGGAGGUCCGGGGUUCAAAUCCCCGCGGGCCCACCA